UCUUCCAAGUUAACGAGUUCUACGUGUAUUUGAUACCUCCAAGGAAGAGCGCCGCUUCUUACAGGGCCGAUGAAUGGAAUGUCAACAAAUGGGACUGGGAGGGUUCACUAAAGGUCGUAAGCAAGGGACAGGAGUGCAAUAUCAGAC